rnacentral:rRNA from 1 species
AUUGAACGCUGGCGGCAGGCCUAACACAUGCAAGUCGAACGAGUGGCGGACGGGUGAGUAAUGUCUGGGAAACUGCCUGAUGGAUGGGGAUAACUACUGGAAACGGUAGCUCAUACCGCAUACCAGCAGAUGUGCCCAGAUGGGAUUAGCUAGUUGGUGGGGUAACGGCUCACAAAGGCGCCGAUCCCUAGCUGGUCUGAGAGGAGGACCAGCCACACUGUAAGUGAGACAAGGUCCAGACGCCUACGGGAGGCAGCAGUGGGGAAUAUUGCACAAUGGGCGCAAGCCUGAUGCAGCCAUGCCGCGUGUAUGAAGAAGGCCUUCGGGUUGGAAAGUACUUUCAGCGGGGCGGCGUUACCCGCAGAAGAAGCACCGGCUAACUCCGGGCCAGCAGCCGCGGUAAUAC